CGAAAGAGGUAGCAGUGUGCCAAAACCAUGUGUUUUGUCCAUCUCUGUUGGUUUUACUAGUCUUCAAGACUUAGACGUGAGGGUGGACCCAGAUCUCCUUUUGGCUAUCAUAACUCUGGGACUUCAAUUUGUGUGGCCGGCAGCAUACACAAAAGGAUGUAUUGCUGCUCAUGUCUGCCUUUAAUUCCAUAGUCCACGUGGCUGAGCACUCACCUGGACCAUGUGAAGCAGAGCGGAGGUGCCCUCCAGCUUAAGUCCAGGGCAAUGUUCAGACCAUACCUUUGCCACCAGGGUACUCCCAAGCUCUCUGCUACAUCUAAGGGAUGAAUAUGGGGGAGGAUUUCUGACAAUGCACAUCUAGACCAGACUUGUGAGAAGGUAGUGAAGGAAACAGAAAGCAGAAGUCAUUUUAAGUUGUUAUGAUAAAAACAACUGGAAUUUGGGUUUUUGUUUGGUUACACCUGAACUUUCCUCUUCCAGAAUCGAUACCGAGAUGACCGGCUCUGAUUCAGAAACCAAAAUCCAAACAAUCUCUGUCUGCCUCCUGACUAGAUCAGAUUGCUGAUUUAACUCAUUUCUACAGAACAUCUGUUUAAACCCACACUGGAUAGCUGCCAGAUUAGUGGAAAGGAUACGGUAUAAAGAAGACUUUUGUUUCCUCCGAGCAAGAGAAAAAAUAAGUUACAAGUUGGUGCAGAUUGCCGAGAAGAAGCAACUUUUUCUCUCCAGAAGCAGAUGUCCUGUAGUGUUUGAAAAUGAAAUGUUUUUGUGUCUUGCAGGCAAAGGUUCUGCGUUUCAACAAUAUUGAUUGUCAGUUAGUACAGACUGUCAGCCUGCCGUGGUUAACCUACCAGUUGUUUGAGAGACAAUCAUGAGCAAUUAAGA
rnacentral:lncRNA from 1 species